CCCUUAGAUGUUCUGGGCCGCACGCGCGCUACACUGAUACGUUCAACGAGUUUACAACCUUGAUCGAUAGGUCUGGGUAAUCUUUGGAAUGCGUAUCGUGCUAGGGAUAGAUUAUUGCAAUUAUUAAUCUUGAACGAGGAAUUCCUAGUAAACGCAAGUCAUCAGCUUGCAUUGAUUACGUCCCUGCCCUUUGUACACACCGCCCGUCGCAGCUACUGAUUGAAUAUAUCGGUGAAAUAUUGGGACCGUGGUGAACGAAGCUUCAUUGCUUCGAUCAUGAUGGGAACUUUCUUAAACCUAUCUAUUUAGAAGAAGCUGAAGUCGUAACA
rnacentral:rRNA from 1 species